rnacentral:rRNA from 1 species
UACGUAGGGUGCAGGCGUUAAUCGGAAUUACUGGGCGUAAAGCGUGCGCAGGCGGUUUGCUAAGACAGGUGUGAAAUCCCCGGGCUUAACCUGGGAACUGCGCUUGUAACUGGCAAGCUUGAGUGUGGCAGAGGGGGGUGGAAUUCCACGUGUAGCAGUGAAAUGCGUAGAGAUGUGGAGGAACACCGAUGGCGAAGGCAGCCCCCUGGGCUAACACUGACGCCUCAGGCACGAAAGCGUGGGGAGCAAACAGGGAAUUAGAUACCCGG